UUCCAAUCAAGUUACGGAUCCAAUACCGGAAAAAUACCCGCCAUCCCUACUGCCACACCCCUUCCGUUACCUAAUACGACGGAAACCUUUCUGUCAUCUUUUGUCUCGAUUAACAGAGCAGGCGAGAUUACAACGAUGGAGGACUCAAAAACGAGGGAUCGGCUAUCUGUAUUUUUGGAUUCUGGGAUUUACCGAUUCGAAUGUUCAAAUGUUGUUUUUAUUGACCCGGUUCGUGUGUUAAAUCUGUCCUAUACCCGUUUUAGGGUUUCUCCAUCUGCCUACUAUUCUCGUUUCUUCGAUCCCAAGUGCUCCGGUGAAGAUCGCCAUGAAACUAAGUUGUCUUCAAGUUCAAAGAAGCGAAAGCGAAGAGAGAAGAAACCUCACUCCUUGAACGAAAGAGAAAGAGCUGCUGAUCAGCGCCACCAGCAAGCGAGGCCUAUGUUGUUGAAGGCAUUGGAAUGCUUAGUGGCGGCUACUGAUCUCUUAGCGAUUAUGAGAAAUUUAAGGAGUGUUUUUUGUCCCUUACAAUGCAGAGAAUUACCAACUCCUCUCAAUGAGCACUCUUUUACGGAACUUUGCCGCGUUUGGCAAGCUCCUUUCUACGAAAUCACUCUUAAUUUUCCUCAACAUCACGAGCCAAGCAGAGAUGCAGGUUCCCUGAUUGAUCCAUGCACUGGCCAAAGAAUUUUUCCAGUUUUCAAUAAUUUGGUUGUUAAUGAGACAGGCAGUGAUGUAGAUGCGGCAUUUCUAAACGAGAAAUAUAUACUACCCAAGGAAAGUUGCUUUUACAUGUCUGAGCUGGAGCAGAUUCACAACCUUAUUCCUGCUGAGGCUGAUUGUGGAUUCAAUCUAAUAGUGGUUGAUCCACCAUGGGAAAAUGCAAGUGCUUCUCAGAAACUCCUGUACCCUACAUUGCCAAAUCGGUAUUUCUUAUCUCUUCCUAUUAAGCAACUUACUCAUACAGAUGGAGCACUUGUAGCCUUAUGGGUGACAAAUAGGGAAAAAUUGCGUAAUUUUGUUGAGAAAGAGCUAUUCCCCUCAUGGGGAAUCCGUUAUGCAGCUAGUUUUUACUGGCUGAAGGUGAAAGCAGAUGGCUCAUUGAUUAGUGAUUUAGACCUCUUUCACCAUAGACCCUAUGAAUGCCUGCUAUUGGGGUACCUUCAUGGGGAGGGUACAAAUUCUGAACAGAUGUCAAGCUGGAGAGCUGUUGAACAUGACAAAAUCAUCAUAAGUAUCCCUGGGGAUUACUCAAGGAAACCUCCAGUUGGAGAGUUGCUGCUGGAGCAUGUUCCAGGCCCUAAACGUGCUCGAUGUAUUGAACUAUUUGCUAGAGAGAUGAUAGGUGGGUGGACUUCUUGGGGAAAUGAGCCUCUUCAUUUUCAGAAGUCAAGCUAUUUUAUAGAAAGAUAAGGACAGCACAUCAAGAUGAAAUGCACUUUUACUGUAACUACAAAAGGGGACCUGGAAUUUAUUGCUUUCAUUUUUUCCAGGACAUGCUUUGUGGCAAUUUCGAGGUGUGAGUAACAAGACAAACAGACUAGUUGACAACCAACUAACCAUGGCGAAAAGCCUAAGGCUGUGGAUGUGGGAAUUGUGAUUUUCAGGAUCUGCUAAUUAUUGGACAUAACAUAUCAUGUGGAUUUAUGGAUAUUGAGGACAAGAUUAGGGAGGUCAUGAAAGUGAUGUUUAGAAGAUAGGAUGGGAAAAGAAAUGGACCUGCUUUAUCUUUUGGGUAGGCAGCGUGGGCUGUUAAGGCAUGUUUGUUAACUUAAAGUACAGAUGUGUUCAAGCCCCACUUUCUAUUAAACCAUGAAUGCUCAAUUAUUUAUGGCA